rnacentral:lncRNA from 1 species
CACUAUAGGCUGACUUGUUUCUCUCUCUAACUGCUCUAAUCAUAUUUACUUGACACCUUCAUUUCAGAGGCUUUCACAACUGAAAAUCACAGAAUGCCUAAUUUUUGUGUAUUUUUUUUUAGUAGAGACGGGGUUUCUCCAUGUUGGCCAGACUGGUCUCGAAUGCCUGACUUCAGGCGAUCCACCCGCCUCAGCCUCCCAAAGUGCUGGGAUUACAGGUGUGAGCCACUGUGCCCGGCCAGAAUGUCUAAUUUUAAAAGGUGCUAGAGAUCUUCCAUCUAAGCUUCUCACUUUAAAAGAGAUACUGGAUUGUAAGAGGAAGCCAAGAGUCUCAGGCCCUUCGCCCUUGCUUCUCAGAAAAGAACAGCUAACCAUUGCCAACCAGAAUGCAUAGAAACUGAACUACUUCUGUGUCUGCAAUCGUCAUCUUGGACAAAUUACCUAAACUGCUUGGGCUGAGAUAUGUGAAUUCAGAUAUUGAAGCUUAUUUAUACCUUCAUAAUUCUAUGCUUCCAUAAUGAUUAAAUCCAC